GUGAGAGCUCUUUUCUGGAAUGUUCGUGGUUUCGGUGCUAGGGGGCGUCGGGACCAGAUUCAUGACUUGGUGUGUGGUGAGCAUAUUGACAUUUUAGGACUGGUCGAAACUUUUAAGGAAUCCUUUUCCCCUUCUGAAUUUUCUGCACUGGCUGGGAUGGGUAUAUUUGACUGGCACUUUCUACCUGCUUCGGGUCACUCUGGAGGUAUCUUAAUUGGCUCUAAGCGGGAUGUUUUUGACUUCAUUGCUUUUGAUCAUGGCAUCUUUUGGGCUAGCUGCAUAGUUCAUCAUCGCCAACUGAAUACGUUGUGGGAAUUCAUGGUGGUUUACGGGCCCACGGAUCAUUCUCUUGCUCCUCUUUUUUUGGAUGAACUCUCGAUCAAGAUUGAGGCCUGCAAUAUUCCUCUGCUAAUUGGGGGAGACUUUAAUGUGCUUCGGUCUCCGGCCGACAAGAACAAUGCUAAUUUCUCUUGGCCUCUCGCCAAUGCUUUUAAUGAUUUCAUUAGCAACUGCGCACUUCGUGAGCUUCCUAGGGUGGGGGCGCGUUUCACUUGGUCUAAUCAUCAAGCCUCCCCUGUCCGGUCGGUGCUGUAUAGGGUCUUUGUGUCUGAUCGAUGGGAUUCGCUGUUCCCUCGCACGCUGCUUAAGGCCAGGCCUGCGGUUGGGUCUGACCAUGUUCCCCUUUUCCUUGACGCAGGUAUCCUUGCUCUCGCAUCGACCUCCCAUUUCCAGUUUGAUGCUUCUUGGCUUGUGGUAGAAGGCUUUGGUGAGUUGCUGGGUUCUAAGAUUUCUAGUUUCCUUUCUUCUCUUCAUCACUCCUUUGGUACCUAG
rnacentral:rRNA from 1 species